rnacentral:rRNA from 1 species
UACGUAGGGCGCAAGCGUUAUCCGGAAUUAUUGGGCGUAAAGAGCUCGUAGGCGGCUUGUCGCGUCGACUGUGAAAUCCCGCGGCUCAACUGCGGGUCUGCAGUCGAUACGGGCAGGCUAGAGUUCGGUAGGGGAGACUGGAAUUCCUGGUGUAGCGGUGAAAUGCGCAGAUAUCAGGAGGAACACCGGUGGCGAAGGCGGGUCUCUGGGCAGUAACUGACGCUGAGGAGCGAAAGCGUGGGGAGCGAACAGG